GGAAAUUGCCCCUGAGUCUUCUGACCCACUGACCCUGUGUCAGCAUCUGCAGAAGGAGGAGCAUUUUACAUCUAUCAGAGAGGCUCCUGGACUGGUAAUGUUACCUGACCGCCUGCCUUUCAUUGGUUCAUCUGGGACUAAAUCAACAGCCAAGCCAACCCCCUCCUCUCCAGGUCUCUGGCACCCCCACCAGUCCAGUCGCAGAAAGCGUAACAGACAGCAGAAGACUUCUUUCUCCUCUGACACUCACCCUCAUCCAGGA